CCUACGGGUGGCAGCAGUGAGGAAUAUUGGUCAAUGGACGAGAAUCUGAACCAGCCAAGUAGCGUGAAGGAUGACUGCCCUAUGGGUUGUAAACUUCUUUUAUAUGGGAAUAAAAUGUUCCACGUGUGGGAUUUUGUAUGUACCAUAUGAAUAAGGAUCGGCUAACUCCGUGCCAGCAGCCGCGGUAAUACGGAGGAUCCGAGCGUUAUCCGGAUUUAUUGGGUUUAAAGGGAGCGUAGGUGGAUUGUUAAGUCAGUUGUGAAAGUUUGCGGCUCAACCGUAAAAUUGCAGUUGAAACUGGCAUUCUUGAGUACAGUAGAGGUGGGAGGAAUUCGUGGUGGAGCGGUGAAAUGCUUAGAUAUCACGAAGAACUCCGAUUGCGAAGGCAGUUCACUGGACUGCAACUGACACUGAGGCUCGAAAGUGUGGGUAUCAAACAGGAUUAGAUACCCGGGUAGUC
rnacentral:rRNA from 1 species